CGCGUAGGCGGUGCCGUAAGCAGCGUGUGAAAUUCCGGGGCUCAACCCCGGAACGGCGCGCUGGACUGCGGUGCUCGAGUGCGGGAGGGGGGUGCGGAACUCUAGGUGGAGCGGUGAAAUGCGUAGAUAUCUAGAGGAACACCGGUGGCGAAAGCGACACCCUGGCCCGCAACUGACGCUGAGGCGCGAAAGCGUGGGUAGCAAACA
rnacentral:rRNA from 1 species